rnacentral:rRNA from 1 species
AUACGUAGGUGACAAGCGUUAUCCGGAUUUACUGGGCGUAAAGGGCGUGUAGGCGGUCUUGCAAGUCAGAAGUGAAAUUCCUGAGCUCAACUCGGGCGCUGCUUCUGAAACUGCAGGACUUGAGUGCUGGAGGGGCUAGCGGAAUUCCUAGGGGAGCGGUAAAAUGCGCAGAUAUUAGGAAGAACACCGGCGGCCAAGGCGGCUAUCUGGACAGUAACGGACGCGGAGGCGCGAAAGCGUGGGGAGCAGACAGGAUUUGAUCCCCUGGUAGUCCACGCCGUAAACGAUGAAUACUAGGUGUAGGGGGUAUCGACUCCCUCUGUGCCGCAGUUAACACAAUAAGUAUUCCGCCUGGGGAGUACGGCCGCAAGGUUGAAACUCAAAUGAAUUGACGGGG